CCGAAGUCUCAGAGCAAAACUGUCCAUGCCGACCCCCCACAUCCUGGUUCGCCUCACGUGGGUGUCCUUGUUCUCAGCAGCCUGGGGCAAGGGUGUGCUCAGCGUCCCUGUCAAGGGACAAGCACAGCACCACAGUAUUUCCUGAUAUUUUGCCUUCCAGGGCGUGAAGGAGUUAAACUUUUCAGAUGGAAAGCGAACUGAAGAUCAGACCAGCAGCCUGGUGACCUCCCGCUGCUGGGACAGCAGCAGCUCUCAGCCAAGCCCGGCAGUUCCAUCCAUCCACCGGCUUGGUGGGGCCACGGGGAGCAGCGGACGGUGCUGCAGCUUGUGAUCACUUCUCAGCAGCAGAUCAGGCUCCUGAAGCCCUUUGCUACAAGAAUCCUGCACUUUUCAGUGUGGCAGCCUUGAUGUAAGUAGAUACACACAUCGCUUGAAUUCGUGGAGCAGCUCCUGGUAGCAAAGCCAAGACUGUAAGUGUGUGCAGGAUCGGACCCCAAGGAGAGGGUGAGUGGGUGGGCACAGGUUUCCCUCGGGGCAGGGGCACGGAGGGACACCUCACCACAGCUUUCACUGCCCCAGUAAAUGUCAUGAGAUGUCCCGGCGGCCUGCACAAACCCAGCAUGUAGCAACGGCAGCUGGAGUGGUUCUGUUGACUCUGCUGUCGUUAAAUGAGUCAGCGGCAGUCACAGUCUUGUAGGUCAGCAGGGAGUGGCGCGCCAGGAAAUCAGUCACAAAAGUGGGGAAGAACCCCCAAGAAUUCAAGCCUUAACUGACUGCUUUUAGAAGUUUCUAUUUUCUUCAAAUGGCCCAUAGAAUCGUGUGUGUCGGCACAGCGGUUGCUCUUCUUUCGCAGAACCGCAUCUCGUGCGAGCACCCUCGGCCUCCCCUCACCGGGACUGUGCAGAAUGGAAUCCCCCCAGCCCAGAGCCCGGGAUCUGCCGACCCCGGCGCUGGGUCACCCACCCACGGCUGCCUCUACCCCCGGCCGUCACCCGGCCGGCGGCCUGACCGGCCCGAGAGAGGCUGUGGUGGGGGUGCGCGGGUGGGUCGGGGGGGCUGCGCUCCUGUUCCCACUGCGGGGCUUGGUUGUGUCUGUGGGGC